UUGACCCUACGGGACGCAGCAGUGGGGAAUAUUGGGCAAUGGGCGCAAGCCUGACCCAGCAACGCCGCGUGAAGGAAGAAGGCUUUCGGGUUGUAAACUUCUUUUAUGAGGGACGAAAGAAAUGACGGUACCUCAUGAAUAAGCCACGGCUAACUACGUGCCAGCAGCCGCGGUAAUACGUAGGUGGCAAGCGUUAUCCGGAUUUACUGGGUGUAAAGGGCGUGGAGGCGGGACUGCAAGUCAGAUGUGAAGAUUAUGGGCUCAACCCAUA
rnacentral:rRNA from 1 species